UACAGAGGGUGCGAGCGUUAAUCGGAAUUACUGGGCGUAAAGCGUGCGUAGACGGUUAUUUAAGUCGGAUGUGAAAGCCCCGGGCUCAACCUGGGAAUUGCAUUCGAGACUGAAUAGCUAGGGUGCGGUAGAGGGAAGCGGAAUUUCCGGUGUAGCGGUGAAAUGCGUAGAUAAUCGGAAGGAACAUCAGUGGCGAAAGCGGCUUCCUGGACCAGCACCGACGUCAGGCACGAAAGCGUGGGGAGCAAACAGGA
rnacentral:rRNA from 1 species